AACGCACGAGACCUGCGGACCUGCGGAGGGAUCAUUACCGAGUAAUCCUGCUCUGCAGGAACUCCCACCCUUGAUUACAAUGGCGUUGCUUCGGCGAGACGUUGGAAACAGCCAUCGACCAUGUCGAUGUGUGCUCGCCGGAGUUCCAAACUCUUUGAAUUAUGUGAAGUCAGAGAAAACAAGCAAUAUAUAAAAACUUUCAACAAUGGAUCUCU
rnacentral:misc_RNA from 1 species